AAAAUCAGUUUGUUCAUAAUUUCUUAUGAUGAAAUAAUACUCCAAUACAAUCAUAUGCCACAGUUUGUUUAGCCAUUCUUCAAUUGAUCGACAUCCCCUCAGUUUCCAAUUCUUUGCCACCACAGAGUUGCUGUAAAUAUUUUGGAAUUUAUAGGUUUUUCCCCUUCCUCUAAUCCAGACUAUUAAUUAUUGACUAUUAACUAUACUAUGUCUGUCUCAACAGCCAAAUAAAAUUUCAUCUCAAUACCACAUGGUUAGUAUUCCAGAAAAAAAGUUGCAGGAUGACUACAUGUACUCUAAAAUGGAAGUGGCUGAGUCAGAUUUUGGUUUAAUAUAAGAAUUCCUCUACAAUAAGAGCUAAUCUAGGUGUCUCAGUAGAUAGAGUGCCAGGCCUGGGGUCAGGAAAGCUCAUCUUCAUGAGUAAAAAUCUGGCCUCAGAUACUUGCUAUCUGGGUGACUCAGGGCAAGUCUCUUAACCCUCUUUGCCUCAAUUUGCUUCUCUGUUAAAUGAACUGGAGAAAGAAAUGGCAUAACCUUCUAGUGUCUUUGCCAGGAAAACCCCAAAUGGAGUCAUGAAGAGUUGGACAUGACAAAAAAUGCCUGAACAACACACUAAAAAUGAAUUGGUCUACCUCGAGAGAUGAUUUACUGCAAAUCUUCAACAGUCUAGAAAACUGUUGGAAAAACUGUGGCACAGAUAUGGGAUUGGGGGUGGCACAGAGUAGUCUGCCCUGCUACCCCUUUCCACAGCACCCAAAGACAUUUUUUCAUGCCCUGCCCAUACUUUGGGCAUGGGAUUUUGAAAAUGUUUGCCAGUGCUAGGCUAGAGGAUCUACCAUUUGCCAGAGAUAUCACAGAAUUUUUUAUGAAAUAUGACUUGGACUAGAAAGAUUAUAAAGCUUAUGAACUUUGUGAUUUUGUGUGAUCACAACUGUAAGAUUUGUGGAGAGUGAAGCAUUGAAUUUUAAAAACACCAAAUGGGCUGAUUUGGCAGAGAAUUUCAGAAAAUGUGAGUAAGACCAGCCAACAUUAUUCUCUUUCUGCACCCUCAUCCUGCUGUUCCUUUCUCAAAACCUUAAGAAUCUGCUGUUUUAUGGAAAGAAAUGGAAGCUAUAGAACUCUAAACAGUUGGUAGCAUCUGCAAGAGAAACUGAUUUCUUCUACUUUUCUCAUAUUUUUCUCAUUUUAGGUAAAAGUUUAAUGUGGAAGACCAUUAAUAAUAGACUAUUAGAUAUGUGAGAACUCUUGAGAAUAUUUCCAGUCAAAUCCUGACUUUUGAUGAUGAAGAAAUUGAGGUCAAGGGAAAUGAAAUGAUUUGGUCUAGAUGCCAAGACUCUAGACUUUCUGAUUCCCACUCCAGAACUGUUUCAACUACCCAGGCUGCUGUCUUUCAAUAUAAUCAAUAUUUCCUUAGGGAAGACAUAUACUGUAUAUAAUGUAUCAUAUAGAUAUCUAAUUUUCAUGCUAUCAGACAUUAUCUAUGAUUGCCUUUGUAAAAAAAAAGCUGGUGGUUUUUCAAGCCAUGUUAGAGGUGUCCCUGCCAAGACCACCCCCAGUCAGGAAAAGUAAAAGCUAAUAUUCUCGGCAUAGCUUUUUACAGGAAAAGGAACAAAAUUAUUUCUAAAUACAGCAGGGUAAGCAGCACAGAAAGGCAGUAUUUCCUUCCUCUGAUUCAGUUUUCUCACCUAUGUAAUGAUUGAUUAAUGCUAUUUACUUAUUGCAAAGUUCAUUCUUGCUCUCCCUCUCUCUCCCCUCCACCUUCUCUCCAUCCUCUCCUCCUCUCUACUCCCCUUCUCUUCCUCUCUUUCUUCCCCUCUCUCUCCUCUCUUCCUCUUCCUCUCCCUCAUCACUAAGCAAUGGAAAGUCCACUAAGCUCCUGAGGGAAAGAUGCUAAAGGAGAACCCUUCCUAAUUGUCUUACUACCACAACAAGCCUAUGGGCUCCAUUCUGGAGGUGCCUAGAGUGACAUUGAUCAAGUUCUGUGAGGAGUUAAACCCCAUCUCCCCACUCUAAUUUUCAAUGUUGCUGGCUCUGAGCUACAGGAACAUCCCUGCUGUGUCGUAGUGAGGGUAAGAUGGGAGGAGGGCUGUCAGCAGGACACUAAGGGCUCUUAUGAUCUGGAAGGCUGGUAGUGCAGCUAAAGUGACGCUACCCCCAGUCACACAGACAUUCCCAUGGGGCUGGCAAUCAUCUGUUCUAUGCCAGGAGCAGGAUGUCAUCUGUUCCUUUUGAACAGUAACUGAAAAGUGUGAAAGGCUUCAACCUCUUUGCGGCUUACAUUUUCUAAUUUUGAUUAUCUUAGGGUAGACAAUAGCCAUCUUCAUGACAUGGAGGAUUCCAUCCUUAUAUCCUACUCUCCAUUUUUCCCAGUUCCUUUCCCUUAGAUUCUUCAUUUACUUGGAAAGUUUUUGGUGAGAAGGGGCCCACUUGAAUAAGACACUGUUCUAUAUUCUAGGCCACUACACAUUCGAAUAGAAUUUUCUGAGCUCUCAGCUAGAUUGACUUUCUAACCCCCUCUUUUUGGUUUGGCCAAACUGGAAGCAAAGAGUUUAGUGCCCCCCUAGCAACCAUUAAAAUGUGUCUUUCAUUCAUUGGCAAAAGUCCUGGAAAAUACAUGGGCCUUUUGCAGAUCCUUGAGUGAAUGCUAAUGGAUGACUUGGAGAGCAGGCUCUACAUUGUCUAGGGUGCCCUUUUGCCUAUUUUAUUUAAGUAAUGUUGUCUAGAUUAACCUAACUGUGAAGGUUCUAUGGCUCACAUAGGUCAAGAGAGAAAACUCCCCUUUUAGGAAGUAUUAAGGCUUGGUGUACUUACUGGUUUAUAGCACAUUUGGGAUGAAUACCAUAGCUACUGGACACUGUCCUGACCUGUUGUAUCUUCUAUGUGUGUUUUGUCAACCACAUUUUAUGUCAACAUUCUAGCAACCUUCAAAGAUCUAUAUGAUUAUAAUACAAGUUUGGUUGCGUAGCUGUAGCAGGAAAACAAACAAACAAACAAUUUCUUGAUUCUUUAGUUGGUUGUCUAAGAUUAGGUAAGGAGUCCUCAGUCCUGUGAGUUGUUGUUCAGUCAUUUUAAUUUUGUCUAAUUCUUCAUGACUCCAUUUGGGGUUUUCUUGGCUAAAACACUGGAGUAGUUUGCCAUUUCCUUCUCCAGUUCAUUUUACAGAUGGGGAAACUGAGGCAAACAGGAUUAAGCAACUUAACCAGGGUCAUAUAGCUAGCAAGUAUCUGAGGCCAGAUUUGAACUCAGGAAGAUGAGUCUUCCUGCCUCCAGGACCAGUGCUUUUUCCACAGCACAAUAUCCUACAUGUAUACAUAUUUGCUUCAUCUUGUUUCUUAAUACUCUUCCAUAAGAGUUUGAUUUCUCUUUAAACACACAUAUAAGUGAUUAUUUUCAAAAUGCUACAAAGAUGACUUUGUUUUCCACUAAGCAAGUACUUUACUAGACAAUGUUUAUACAGGGGCAAUAAAAGUCACAUAGGUGGAAUGGAUAGUCCGUUA
ensembl:lncRNA